rnacentral:lncRNA from 1 species
CCCGUCCCUGGGAUUCUCCAGGCAAGAACACUGGAGUGGGUUGCCACUUCCUUCUCCAAUGCAGGAAAGUGAAAAGUGAAAGUGAAGUCGCUCAGUCGUGUCCGACUCUGUGCGACCCCAUAGACGGCAGCCCACCAGGCUCCCCCGUCCCUGGGAUUCUCCAGGCAAGAACACUGGAGUGGGUUGCCACUUCCUUCUCCAAUGCAGGAAAGUGAAAAGUGAAAGUGAAGUCGCUCAGUCGUGUCCGACUCUUAGCGACCCCUUGGACUGCAGCCUACCAGGCUCCUCCAUCCAUGGGAUUCUCCAGGCAAGAGUACUGGAGUGGGGUGCCAUUGCCAGUUUUAAGUAAAUUCUAAUUACAUUUAGAACAAUGAAUCACUGGUGUGACUGAUUUUGGGCCCAGAAAAACAUGGACUUCAUAAUACUCACAAUCAUGCAUAGCUCUUGGCACUUCCAAGGAUGAAUGUGUUUGGCUGUGACAUGACUCCAGUGUCCUGGCCAGAAUUGCUUGGAACAAAGAUGAACCCUGACCAGGAACUGUGUCAUUUAAUAUAUUACUGCACAGAAAAAGAUUGGAGGGAACCCAUGCAAGUCUAAGACGCACACUGCUAUUGCUCAGGUUUGUGAUUUUUUUUAAUGCUUUAUUUGGCUGCACUGGGUCAUAGUUGUGGUAAUUGGGAUCUUCCGUCAUCAUUGUGGCAUUAAGGAUCCUUUUUACUUUCUGCAUGCCAGAUCUAGUUUCCUGAUCAGGAAUCGAACCCAAGCCCCUGCACUGGAAGGACCAAGUCUUAGCAACUGGACAACCAAGGAAGACCCAGUUUUGUGAAUUUUAACUACUUUAGAUACUCUUCAGGUGAGUGGGGUGGCGCACAUGCAUUUGUUUAACUCCUACACUGCACUAGAUAAGUUAAUUAUAACAUUUUAAGACUGGAUUUC